rnacentral:rRNA from 1 species
CCUACGGGAGGCAGCAGUGAGGAAUAUUGGUCAAUGGGCGGAAGCCUGAACCAGCCAAGUCGCGUGAGGGAUUAAGGCCCUGUGGGUCGUAAACCUCUUUUGCCGGGGAGCAGAGGCCCGGACGCGUCCGUGCCGGGAGAGUACCCGGAGAAAAAGCACCGGCUAACUCCGUGCCAGCAGCCGCGGUAAUACGGAGGAUGCGAGCGUUAUCCGGAUUUAUUGGGUUUAAAGGGUGCGUAGGCGGGCAUUUAAGCCGGCGGUCAAAUGUCGGGGCGCAACGCCGGCCUGCCGUCGGAACUGGGUGGCUUGAGUGGGCGAGAGGUAUGCGGAAUGCGUGGUGUAGCGGUGAAAUGCAUAGAUAUCACGCAGAACCCCGAUUGCGAAGGCAGCAUACCGGCGCCCUACUGACGCUGAGGCACGAAAGUGCGGGUAGCGAACAGGAUUAGAUACCCUAGUAGUC